GUGAAGCCAUCUUCCUCUUUUCCUUGCUGUCUAUGUAGCCGAUCAAUGCAAGGGGAGCAAAUGCACAUGGCUAGAAGCUCCGGCCACCGCUCUCCAUGGAGCGCUGCCGCGACGGCGCUCCUCCUCCUGCUGCCACUGGCACGCGGCUCCCACGAGCACGAGCGGCAGCAGCAUGAGCAGGACCGCAUCCUGGGGCUGCCGGGGCAGCCCAACGGCGUGGCCUUCGACAUGUACGGCGGCUACGUCACCGUCGACGAGCAGGCCGGCCGCGCGCUCUACUACUGGUUCCAGGAGGCCGACCGCGGCACGGCCGACCCGGACGCGGCGCCGCUCCUCCUGUGGCUGAACGGCGGGCCCGGCUGCUCCUCUGUCGGCUCCGGCGCGCUGGAGGAGCUCGGCGCGUUCCGCGUCCACACCGACGGCCAGACGCUCCUGCUCAACGAGUACGCGUGGAACAAAGCUGCGAACGUGCUCUUCUUAGAGUCGCCGGCCGGCGUGGGGUUCUCUUACACCAACACCACCUCCGACCUCGUCGUCGGCGACGACAGAACGGCUCAUGACUCGUACACUUUCCUAGUGAAAUGGUUCGAGAGAUUCCCGCAGUACAAGUACCGCGAUUUCUACAUCGCAGGAGAGAGCUAUGGAGGUCAUUAUGUUCCUCAGCUCUCUCAGCUUGUGUACAGGAACAAUAUCGGCGUAGAGAAGCCUUCUAUCAACUUCAAAGGAUUCAUGGUCGGAAACGGCGUGACCGAUGACCGCAUCGACACGAUCGGCAUGUUCGAGUACUGGUGGCACCACGGCCUCAUCUCCGACGAGACCCUAGAGAGCGGGCUGAAGGUUUGCCUGGACGGCAGCACCUUGAUCAAGCCCUCGCCGGAGUGCCAGAAGAUCAUGGACAAGGCCACCGAGGAGCAAGGCAACAUCGACGUCUACAGCAUCUACACGCCGCCGUGCAAGAAUGGGACCCCGUACGCGCGCAGCAGGAGCCGCCGCCGCACAUUGAUGCUGCCUCCAUAUGACCCGUGCACCGCCUUCUACUCGACCAACUACCUGAACAUCCCCGAGGUGCAGAGGGCCAUGCAUGCCAACGUCACCGGCAGCAUCGAGUACCCAUGGGCUCUAUGCAGCAAUCCCUUAUAUAAUAACUGGACCACAGUAACACCCAUUUCCAUGCUACCCAUCUACAAGGAGCUCAUUGGAGCUGGCCUCAAGAUCUGGGUCUUCAGUGGCGACACAGACACUGCAGUGCCGCUGAGCUCGACCAGGCGCUCCCUUGCUGCCCUGGGCCUUCCUGUUAAGACCAGCUGGUACCCCUGGUACAUGGUUCCAACCGAGAUACACUUUACUUCCUCCAUGGCUAUGCAUGCUGUGAUGAUGUCUAGGUUGGUGGCUGGAGCAUGGAGUAUGAAGGCCUGACCUUCGUCACCGUCCGCGGCGCCGGGCACGAGGUUCCCCUGCACCGUCCGGAGCAGGCGCUCGUCCUGUUCCAGCACUUCCUGCAGGGCGAACCCAUGCCGGCCGAGGCAAAAAGUGCCGGUGUCAUCCUCCUUCCUAGUGAGAAGGCUCAGGGAUGAUGACGACAGUACCACGACGAUCGUUGAAUGGUAGAGGACGUCUGCUGUUGUAAUAUGUAUGCGGAGAAUAAAAGCAGAAGUGCCUAGUUUCUUGCGAAAGGCUAUGAAUAAUGUAUAAACCCUUGGCUUGGCGAUGGAUAGAUUGUUUCUCCUGAAAGCCAUUUAUGAAUAAAGCAUGCAUAUGCUUGGACAGUGUUGAAAUC